rnacentral:rRNA from 1 species
UACGUAGGGAGCAAGCGUUGUCCGGAUUUACUGGGUGUAGAGGGUGCGUAGGCGGCUUUGCAAGUCAGAAGUGAAAUCUAUGGGCUUAACCCAUAAACUGCUUUUGAAACUGCAGGGCUUGAGUGAAGUAGAGGUAGGCGGAAUUCCCGGUGUAGCGGUGAAAUGCGUAGAGAUCGGGAGGAACACCAGUGGCGAAGGCGGCCUACUGGGCUUUAACUGACGCUGAGGCACGAAAGCGUGGGUAGCAAACAGG